rnacentral:rRNA from 1 species
GCACCUUCCGGUACGGCUACCUUGUUACGACUUAGUCCUAAUUACCGAUCCCACCUUAGACAGCUCCCUCCAUAAAUGGUUGAGCCACUGGCUUCGGGUGUUACCGACUUUCAUGACUUGACGGGCGGUGUGUACAAGGCCCGGGAACGUAUUCACCGCAGCGUUGCUGAUCUGCGAUUACUAGCGACUCCGACUUCAUGGGGUCGAGUUGCAGACCCCAAUCCGAACUGAGACUGGCUUUUUGGGAUUCGCUCCAUCUUGCGAUAUUGCAGCCCUUUGUACCAGCCAUUGUAGCAUGCGUGAAGCCCUGGACAUAAGGGGCAUGAUGACUUGACCUCAUCCCCACCUUCCUCCGAGUUGACCCCGGCAGUCUCCUAUGAGUUCCCG